AGCAAUACUGUUUGGAGGUUCAGACAAGGUGUCCAUUUAUAUUACCAGACAAUGAUGAUGUCAUCUAUGGAGGACUAUCAAGUUUCAUCUGUACAGGGCUCUAUGAAAAUUAUCCAAACAAUGCAGAACCAGAAUGCUGUGAUGUCAGAUGGGGACUAUUACCAGAUAAUCAAUCCAAAGGGACUAUAAAAACAAGUGACUCAUCAAUGUGUCACAGGACAUCGCUCACAGUUUCAUCAGCAUCAAGACUGUGUAACAGCAGACUUAAACUGUGUGUUCUUGUAUUAAUUCUCUUACAUACAGUACUUACAGUCUCAGCAGCACAGAACUCAACAGGACUGGGCUUUGGAGGCAUAACAACUUUGGAAGAUAAUUCAACUAAUGAGGAAUAAAAGAAAGGAUACAUGUCAAAUGAUAGACACACAACAGGCCCAUGUGUACUACAGUCAAAUAUAACAGAGACUGGGUGCUUUUACCCUCUAAUCACUUCUUGAAAGGCCUUCUGGGUAAAAUUAAAAGGAUGGGCAACAAUCCAAACAAGGACACAUGAACACAGCUUUUUAUUGACUAAAAGGCUGUAUGGUGACUUAAAUUUCUCACACCAUUUUAUACACUGUGUUUUAAUGUUUGGAGUUUCUUUUUUUGUUUGUUUUUUGCACUUGUUAAUACAGGAUUUUAUUUUUGGGACCGUUUCUCAAAGCUAAACUAAGUCUUUUCACUGUCGAUAUAUUUCUAUUCAUUGUGUAUGUUCAUCUGAUAGUUCUGUCUUUUAUGUCCUGUCAGUUUCUAUUAGAGGAAUGACUGCUAUGAUUCCAUGGCAUAACAAAAAACAAAAAAACAACAAAAACAAAUUUAAAAAAAAAACAACAAAAAAACACAAAAAAAAUUACAAAAAAAACACACACACCCCCACCACCAACCUAACUGUCCUUUUUACCUAUGGAAACCAUUCUCUUCCUUCCCCCUCCCCCAUCUCCCUUAUGCAGACAACAUCCACUUGCUUCUGUCUGUGUAAUCACAAUGAAUGGGUACACGUGAUUCUGGUGUACCUCUGCCACUGUUGCACAAACCAGCUGACUGAGCAAACCCAACCAGAGCAUGAGGGGGUUCGUUUUAGCUGAACAAACAAGUGCUCUCCUUACAAGGUGGGAUCGGACAGUUAACAAAUUUUUAUGUAUAGAAAUCUAUAACAAACUGUUGCUCCAAUUCCCAUUUUCAAGAAGUCCAGUCCUUUCUCGCUGGUCAGUUGAACAGGAGCAGCCUUUUUAGAUACAGUAUGGGAAACCAGUUAAGCUCAGCAAGUUGAAUAGUUGGGAGGCCUUCCUAUUGGAGGUAAAAGAUUGGCAUUCAUUGUGAAUUACGUUUUCAGUUCCACUGCAGUCACAUAACCAGCAAAGAUUCAUAAUGUCUGGGAGCAAAGAGAUUCAGAAAAAAAGAAGUCUUUUUUCUUCUGACAAAGCUACAGUAGAAGCAUUUAAGCACCGACAGUACAAAUGAUGUGUUCAGUGUUGAAUCCAUUGUUUUUCUAGCAGCUACAUGUUGUUGAAAGUUAUUCGAGUUAUGAAGGAUGCAUAGUGAUGUACUAGCACUGCUGAAGAACAUGAGUUUUUUAAUAAAUAGGUCAACCAUUUUCAUAAGUAUGCAAUAAAACAGCAAAGAACAUACCAGGCUAUCAGUAAUCAAGGGAGAGAAGAGUAAUCUGAUUGCCUUUUCCAUUGCUUUUUUUUUUUUCUUCUUUUUUUGUGGGAACAUUUUACCUGCUGAGUGUAUGAGUAUUUGCUUUAUAAAAAGGCUUUUUAGAGUUUACAAUAGAAUCAAUGGAAGGAAAAGUUAAUAAGGGCUGUUUUUAAACAUUUUACAUUCCUUCCUAUUCUCUAACUACACUUGGGAAGUGCACUUUAGAGAUGUUUGCUGUGUAGCUGGGAAAUGAAGGAAAACUAUAAGAAAUGUUCUCUUAGCAAAUAAAGUUUAGUUACCUACUUUCUAGCUUUGAAAUAUCCCUUGAUAAUUAUUUCCAUUAUAAGAGCAUUUAAUCACUGCUACUUAGGUAUGCAGUUUUUUUAAAUUCACAUUUUAUGGUUUGUGAAAUUGUGUGGGGUGGGGGGAGAAGGAAACCCUACUGCUUAAGCUGCUUAAAAUGCAUUUGUUAAGAUGUAAAAUCUCAAAUAUUUUGCAAGAGUAUUUGUUUUGAUAGUGUUUUACUAUUACUGGAACUGAGGAUCCUAAAACGAUCUGUGCAAAUACAAAAAAGCACCAAAAAAUGCAAAAUUCUUCAGCUCAUUUGUGUUUCCAUAACCUGUUCCCCCUGCACAAUAUAUUCCAUUCAAUAAAACAUGGUGCUUUUUUUGCUAGGGGCACGUGUUAAUUGCAUUGAACUGAUGCAAACUGUGGAAAAAAGUGUAGAAAUGAAAAUGAAAAAGCCUUAACUAAUGGUAGAAUGUAGAUUACAAAGAGGAUAGGAAUAUACCUGAAAAGUAGUGGAGCAAUAACUGGACAGUGCUGUGGUACUGUACGAUAGCUUAUGAGUCACAUUAUUGAGAAAGCACUUACUAGGUGAGCUCUUGUUCAACUGACCUCUUAAUUAUAUUAAGUGUAUAUGGUCAGUAAACAGUUUGUUAUAACCUUUAUCUACCUCUGCUGUGCAAAGGCCAUUCAACAUCUAUUUCUGUGAAGUUCUUCAUAUUUUUGUUCACACCAUAGUUCACUUUCAUCUAUUUUUACACUGCACCAGUACAGUAGCAAGUCCUGUUCAUCCCCAUUAAACUGGCGUAUAAAGAAGAGUUACCAUUUCUACUCACUGAACCCUAUUUUUCCUCAUGGUGACCUAAUGUGACAAAUCAUCUUUAAGAAAUAUUAUUUCCUCCCUCUCUGUCUCUCUCUCCCCUUUAUUUUUUCUUUAAAGGUGUUUUCAACUGGUGUCAGUAAGAAAUAUGACUCCUCCACUGCUUGGCUACACUCAGUAACAUAUGUCAUACGAUAUGGGGAGAAAGACAGCUGAGAAAAAACAGUGGCGACAUCAUCACAUGCAUAAAAUAGCCAAAUUAAAGUUGGGUAAAAUGGAGUAGGAAUCUUAAUCAUUACAAUAAUUACAGAGUCUUAAUCAUUAAAUAUAAAAUGUAAUAAAAUACUCCCCCUAUCCCCACCCCGAGUCAGUGCCUGCAGUUAAAUGGUCUGUGAAUUCUCUCUGUCUUUUUUUUUUUUUUUUUUUUUCUAUUUCUUUUGUUUAAAAAAAAAAUCAUGUUCUUGGGGUGACUACUGCUGUGAUAUUUGUUACCAUUCCAACAAGGUAUUUCUACUCCAGCAGUGUGGUAUGAAGCUUCUCCUGGUGACAACUAGGAAAUCUCAAGUAGACAAAGACUCUUUUAUGAAGUUAAGCAACACGUAAUCAUGUAUGAUGCAAAAUUUCAUUUCAUCCACUCCUCCUUCGUAAUAGUUUUCCUGGCACAAACUUAAGCAUGCUUGAUAUUGUGCACAUCUUACUUUUUUUGCCAGAAUAAAUUUGCAUCUUGCCACUGCUGUAACUGCCAUCUUGUUCCAUUUCUCCUUGUACUGUAUGCCUAUUACAUACAUGAUAAAGAACUGGCUUAAAAAAGAAAAGAUAAUACUAAAAUAUUUCUUCAAGCAAGUGACAAAAAAAAGAAGAAAGAAAGAAUAGAAUAAUAUUUAUUUUGCAGUCAUAUGGAACAGAUUUUCCCCAUGUCUUUUAUUGUCUUAUUUUCUGCAGUAGGGAAAAUCCAGAGUUUGUGCAAUAUGUUAAUACUGCUCAACCAAAUGUCAUAUAACAUAACCAGAGCUAUAUGUUAUUCCUUAUUGCAUUUACAUUUGGUAAUAUGUUAUAUUGACUUUUUUCUUUCAUUAAAGAGCCAGCAUCCAUUUUUUGCAAA